rnacentral:rRNA from 1 species
CCUACGGGAGGCAGCAGUGAGGAAUAUUGGUCAAUGGACGAGAGUCUGAACCAGCCAAGUAGCGUGAAGGACGACUGCCCUAUGGGUUGUAAACUUCUUUUAUAUGGGAAUAAAACGUUCCACGUGUGGGAUUUUGUAUGUACCAUAUGAAUAAGGAUCGGCUAACUCCGUGCCAGCAGCCGCGGUAAUACGGAGGAUCCGAGCGUUAUCCGGAUUUAUUGGGUUUAAAGGGCGCGUAGGUGGAUUGUUAAGUCAGUUGUGAAAGUUUGCGGCUCAACCGUAAAAUUGCAGUUGAAACUGGCAGUCUUGAGUACAGUAGAGGUGGGCGGAAUGCGUGGUGUAGCGGUGAAAUGCUUAGAUAUCACGAAGAACUCCGAUUGCGAAGGCAGUUCACUGGACUGCAACUGACACUGAGGCUCGAAAGUGUGGGUAUCAAACAGGAUUAGAUACCCCGGUAGUC